GCUGGCCGCGGUGCUCCUGGGUGCGCGGGGCUGCCGUCGGCGGGGCCGCACUGCGGCGUGAACGGGAGGUCGGGGCCGCGCUCACCUCUGGACAUUCGGCCUGUUUCCAAAACCGUGCACCUCUCUCCUGUGCAUGAAAUUUCUGUGCGAGAAAAUGGAUUUUCUGAGUGUGCUUCUUGUUUUCUUCACGGCAGUGGCUGUGAGCAGAGCCCAGGUGCAGCAGGAGCCGUCGGCAGAGACCAGCGAAGGCAUCGGUAUCAACAUCACCUGCUCACACCCCAACAUACGAAGCAAUGAGGACAUUCUUUGGUACCGCCAGCUCCCGGGCCGAGGACCCGCAUUCAUCACGAGAGCCGUUAAAGGCUCCAAGAACGUGCCGGACCCGGAGGGGCAGGUGUUGGUGUCGGCAGAUCGCCGCUCCAGCGCCCUGUGGCUCGCCCGGCCCCGGCUCGGCGACGCGGCCGUGUAUUACUGCGCGUUGGUAGCACGGGGAUUCGAGCCGGGGCUGCGGCCGGGCACGAACCGCUUUGGGCGGGGCGGGGGCACAGUGCCGUCCGGGCCCGCAGGGGGCGCUGCCUGCAUGGCCACCAAACUCCAUCCUGACCUGGGUGCACCUCCCUGA